rnacentral:lncRNA from 1 species
GGGAUACAUAGGGUGAGGUCCUGACAAGGGGGUUCUGUCUUUGUGACGCUUAGGGACUGGCAUGGUGGUAUGUGGAAGUGUUGUGGUUCCUCAACCUAGACGUUUUCCAAAACCCCUCCUUUUGGAUUUUUAUGAAAUCGCCAAUACAUAGCCAUAAUUGAUUAACUUAUUGGCCGCUGGAAUUGGAUCAACCUCUAGCCCCGCCCCUCUCCCAGGACGCAAGGGGCCAGGAUUCAAAGUUCCAAUAUUCUAUUCGUGGUUGGUUCCCCUGGCAACCAGCCCUCAUUCUUAAGUGUUUUCAAAGUCACCUGCAUUAACAUAAAUCCAGUUGUGGAAAGGGCUUGUUAUAAACAAGACACUCAUUUUACCUUACAGCUCUAAAGUGUUUCUCAGGAACUAAGGACAAGAAACCAACUACUAUAACAAAAGAUGACUCAUUGCUCUUAUGCAGAGGAAACUCCUAGGGUUUUGGGCACUGUGAGCCAGGAACUGGAGAUGAAAACCAAAUAUGUAUGAGAAAGCUUAUAUAUCACAGUAUCAUAGAACCAAGGCGUGAUAGUUACACAAAGAUGAAUUUUGUUCAAAUACAAGGAAUCUGGCUCAAUAUGUGACAACAUAUUGUAAUAGUAAUAUAAAACAUUCCAAAGUAUUCCAAAAUAAAAUAAAUUGCCUCAAACUAUCUCCUGACUUUAGGAAAUUCCAGUCUUUGGAGCUGUCCAUGGAAAAAUGAGAAUUUGGACUCAUUCCUACUGUCAAAACAUGUACUCAAAUGUCUCCUCCUCUGUGCUGAAGUUGAAUCCUUCCUGAGGAGACCAUGCUGCUGGCGGCCAAGAACAAAGUGAGGUGUUCCAGAGAAGCAAGUCUGGGGUGACAGCCAAAUCUCCACAAAGCAGAGAGUUCUCUAAAUAAUGAAGAGUUGACUGUGACGGCAAAAGUCUUCUUGCAGGUGCAGAUGCAUGCACUUUGGAAGAGAAGCAACCCCUUUCAGCUGCUUCCCCUACCCCAUCACCAGCACCUUAUUUUCACAGUGUUCCAAUCUUACUUGAGUUCUUACUUGAGGAAUCUCAUUACUCCAAAAUAUUCCAGGUGUGGGAUGGAGCAGGAAAGCAAGGAAGGCAGAAACAUUUCAACAUGCAAUGGUGAAACCGUCUG